GAUGAGCGCUGGCGGCGUGCCUAAUACAUGCAAGUCGAGCGAACAGACGAGGAGUUUGCUCCUCUGACGUUAGCGGCGGACGGGUGAGUAACACGUGGAUAACCUACCUAUAAGACUGGGAUAACUUCGGGAAACCGGAGCUAAUACCGGAUAAUAUAUUGAACCGCAUGGUUCAAUAGUGAAAGACGGUUUUGCUGUCACUUAUAGAUGGAUCCGCGCCGCAUUAGCUAGUUGGUAAGGUAACGGCUUACCAAGGCAACGAUGCGUAGCCGACCUGAGAGGGUGAUCGGCCACACUGGAACUGAGACACGGUCCAGACUCCUACGGGAGGCAGCAGUAGGGAAUCUUCCGCAAUGGGCGAAAGCCUGACGGAGCAACGCCGCGUGAGUGAUGAAGGUCUUCGGAUCGUAAAACUCUGUUAUUAGGGAAGAACAAAUGUGUAAGUAACUAUGCACGUCUUGACGGUACCUAAUCAGAAGGCCACGGCUAACUACGUG
rnacentral:rRNA from 1 species